rnacentral:rRNA from 1 species
GACGAACGCUGGCGGCGUGCCUAAUACAUGCAAGUAGAACGCAGUUGCGAACGGGUGAGUAACGCGUAGGUAACUGCCUCAUAGCGGGGGAUAACUAUUGGAAACGAUAGCUAAUACCGCAUACUGUGUGAUGGACCUGCGUUGUAUUAGCUAGUUGGUGAGGUAAAGGGUCACCAAGGGGACGAUACAUAGCCGACCUGAGAGGGGGGACGGGCAAGCUGGGACUGAAUCACGGCCCAGACUCAUACAGGGAGCAGCAAGAGGGAAACUGCGGCGAUGGACGGAAGUCUGACCGAGCAACGCCGCGUGAGGGAAUAAGGUUUUCGGAACGGAAAGCUGUGUUGUUAGAGGAACGGUAACUAACCAGAAAGGGACGGCAAACUACGUGCCAGCAGCCGCGGUAAUUC